GGGGUUGUGGCUCAGUGGUAGAGCUCUCACCUGGCACAUGUGAGGCACUGGUUUCGAUCCUCAGCACCACA
rnacentral:tRNA from 1 species